rnacentral:rRNA from 1 species
GAGUUUGAUUAUGGCUCAGGAUGAACGCUAGCGGGAGGCCUAACACAUGCAAGCCGAGCGGGAUUUGUUGGUUAGCUUGCUAACUAAUAAUGAGAGCGGCGUACGGGUGCGUAACACGUGUGCAACCUGCCUUUAUCUGGGGGAUAGCCUUUCGAAAGGAAGAUUAAUACCCCAUAAUAUAUUAAUUGGCAUCAAUUGAUAUUGAAAGCUCCGGCGGAUAGAGAUGGGCACGCGUAAGAUUAGCUAGUUGGUGAGGUAACGGCUCACCAAGGCUGCGAUCUUUAGGGGGCCUGAGAGGGUGAUCCCCCACACUGGUACUGAGACACGGACCAGACUCCUACGGGAGGCAGCAGUGAGGAAUAUUGGACAAUGGGUGAGAGCCUGAUCCAGCCAUCCCGCGUGAAGGACUAAGGACCUAUGGUUUGUAAACUUCUUUUAUACAGGGAUAAACCUACUCUCGUGAGGGUAGCUGAAGCUCUGAUGAAUAAGCACCGCA